rnacentral:rRNA from 1 species
AAAAUAAAAAUUUUUUUAAUAUAAACAUUAUAAAAAUAAAACUAUAUUUCAACUACCUAAUAAAAUAAAACUCUCUGCAAAGAAAAUUUAAACUACAUUAAUAAAAAGUAUAAUAUGCUCUACCUUUUGCAUCAUGGUUUAACAAAAUCUAAAUUUAUGAAUCUUUCCCGAAACACUCUGAGCUAUCUAUUAUUUGUUUUGAACCAACCCAUAUCUGUUGCAAAAUAUUGGCAAAAAUAAUAUAUAGUGGCUACAUACUUACGCAGAGUGUUAUAUCUGGUUUACUUAAAUCCCUAUUUAGUAGGACAAUAUUUCUAACCCAUAAAUAUAUGAAAAAUAAUAAAGGAUAAGCUUUAUUAAACCAUUAAUAUAUACCUUUACUAACAUCUUGUAGGGCCCAAAGUACCCAACAACUAUAUUGUCUUAUAGCAACUGAGAAUAAACUAUAAAUUUAAACUGUAAAAAAUAUAACCACCUCAAAAGUAAACUUUAUAAAACCAAAUAUAAAAAUUAAUCUGUUAAAAUUAGUACUACAAAACAAUAAAUAUUAAUAACCUAAAUCAAAUAUAUUAAAACUAUUAACUACAAACCAUUACAUAUUAUAAAGGAACUCGGCAAAUCCCUACUUCGCCUGUUUAUCAAAAACAUAGCCUUUUGGUUAAAAAUAAAAGGUGAAGCCUGCCCGGUGACUUACGAGUUUAACGGCCGCGGUACCCUGACCGUGCUAAGGUAGCAUAUAAUUUGCCCUUUAAUUGGGGGCUAGAAUGAAAGGAUAAACGAAAGUUAAGCUGUCUCUAUAAUAAAACACUAAAUUUACCUUUAGGUGAAAAGGCCUAAAUAAAAUUAAAAGACAAAAAGACCCCAUAGAGCUUUACCAAAAACAUAUAAAAAAGAAAUAUUAUACUUUCUAUUUUAUUAUAUCUAUGGUUUAACUGGGGCGGUUAAGGAGCACAUAAACCUCCUAUUCAUAUAAAGGAGUACUAUCCAACACUGAUCCAAAAAAGACUAAAGAAACAAGCUACCUUGGGGAUAACAGGCUUAUAUCUUUUAAGAGUACAAAUCGAAAAAGAAGUUUGGCACCUCGAUGUUGGCUUAGAGGACCCUUUAGGUAGUAGCAGCUUAAAAGGCAGGUUUGUUCAACCUUUAAACCUCUACAUGAGCUGAGUUCAGACCGGCGUAAGCUAGGUCAGUUCCUAUCUUUAAUUAAAUAAAUUAUCAAUUGUACGAAAGGAUCCUGAUAAUAAAAAACUUUUUAAAUAAAAAUAAAUAUAAUACUACCAUAAAUAUAACCAUCU